CGGCAGAGUUCUCCCAAAAGCGGGUGAACUGGCGCUCUGUGGAGGACGUGGAGGGCAGCAGCACAAUGGACAGCGUCUGGGGCCUCAGGCCAGUUCCACAGCAGUUUAGGAAAGCAGGCGGCUCCCUGGGCCGAAGGAGGCGGGACGCUUUGGAGGGAAACCGAGCUGAGCAGCGGGAGGUGGAGUGAGGCUGAGACCCGCCCGAUUUGGGCAAAGGCGAGGUGCACUUCGCAGCGUCACAACCACCUCACUACUCAGCUCAGACCUGCCCCUCAAGUCCCUCUCCGGACUCACUUCCCUUAGGUAGGGUGGCACAGAAUCAGUGGCCAGCAUAGGUUUGUAAGCAGACAGGCCCACACAACCCUGCUCCUCCCUCUGAGGCUGCACACCACCCGCUAGCCCGGCGAUUGCUGGGACUGUGGGCCGGUAGCCCCGCGACCAAUGGCCGAAAGCGGUUAAAAAACUACUCCUCCCAGCAUGCCUGACGAGGCGCGCACCGCCCUCCCCUUCCCGCCAAGUAUCAUCACAAACCCUACUCCCGUUGCAUGCUGGGAUUGUAGUCCCGAAGCCCUGCGAACAAAGGCCAAAAGCAGUUAAGAAACUACUUCUCCCAGCAUGCCUCCCUCCAGGUGUCCUUACCAACCCCACUCCCGUUGCAUGCUGGGAUUGUAGUCCCGCAGCCCUGCGACCAACGGCCGAGAGCGGCUAAGACACUACUCUUGCCAGCAUGUCCUGCAGUAGGGCACCGCGCUAUGUCUCCCUCCAGGGAUCUGCACCACCUACAAUCCCGUUUCACGCUGGGACUGUAGUCCUGCAAGCCUACAACUAACAGCUGGGUGCGGAUAAGGGACUACAGUUCCCCUCAUUCCCAGCAAAGGUCCCGCCGCCACCGAGCUCCUCCAGGAUUCCAGUGCAGUUCCGCCGUGCGGAGGGAAGCUUGGCUGUUCACAAACCUCUCCUGCCCUCGAGGAGACAGCUUGGCAGGAGCGGCCGAUCUCACCUUGUCAUUGUGACACGGUGUCUCCCCAAAGUGCCGACUUCAUGACUUGUUGUGCCCAAAGUUUAAUUUCCCACAGAACAGGUAGAGGCCAAGAGCUUCUCGCAGCCUCAGCCGCAGGGUUGCCAUGGUAACGUUCGUUUCUUCCCUCCCCGCCCCCCACCCGCCACUGGCCGUCUGGACCCCACCCCGUCCCUCUGAGGGGCCUCUCCUUUUAACCCCGCCGUCUAUUGUCCCUCCCCUCGCCACAUGCGCAGUGCUGCCACUUGGUCCCGCGAGGGAAGCUCCCUUUUGAGUGUCCGAAACCGUUAGUUUGCUGCCUCAUGUGAAGGUACCCAGUCUCUGGUAACCUGGCACUUCACUUUUGAAAACCACCUUUUUCCUGCACCUCUUUGCUCCCCAGAUGCACCUACUGGACCCCGGGCUGGCUGUAUGGCCCGCGUCUGGGUCAGGCCUCGCACGCAGACGCUCCUGCCACCGUGAUGAAGAGGAGAAAAUGUCCCAGGGGAAAGGCCUGACCUUGCUGCAUUCAGUCAGGAAACAGCCAUGGGGAAGGGACCCCCUUAAACUACUUUGGGAGCCACAUCCACCACUUCUCUGCCCCCUACCCAGGCUGGUUCCCAGGCCUUGGGGUCCUAGUGUGGACCUCCCUGCCGUAAUUAACGCAGGUGCAGGACCAGAGAGCGCCUUGGUCCCUCCGAACACAUGAGGAAAGUUUGUGUGGUGAGGUUUGGACAGUGUCUGUGUUUCUGCCCUGAAUAGGGUUCCCUAGAAAAUCUUUAUCCAUUUUUAAAUACUCUCUUUGGUACCACUUUUAAGACUUUGCCGGUGGAAAUUAACAGUGAUCAUUUUUUUGAAUCCAUUUUUCUAUUUGCUUUUUAAGAUUAACUCUUAAGUACUCCACAGCUACACGCUUCUGAAACUGGCGGAGGCACAGCGUCAGUUCUGUACAGGGCGGACGCAGCAGGACAGAAUCUCCCUGGGCAUCUUUCUGGAGCAUCAAAUUUACUGCAAGAUUUUAAAGAAACAAAUUUAGUUGAUUUCCAAGAGGAAAGGCCAUGUGAAGAUGCAGCUAGAAGGUGGCCAUCUGCAGGCCGGAAAGCAAGCCCUCACCAGGAACCAACCCUGACAGCACCUUGAUCUAGACAUCCAGCCUGCAGAACUGUGAGAAAAUAAACUGCUGCUGCUUAACCACCCAAUCUAUGGCAGCCCUAGCCAAGUCAUACAGGAGGGAAGGUGGCCAAUAAAGAGUGUAUUGUUAAGCCAGCUACCCCUGUAGGCAAUGAAGGUUGGCCUACUGCAGAACUCUC